UGAAGAGUUGGAUUUCAAUCUGUAUCUCUGCAGCCUCUGAGAUUGCCAGGGCUCUCAGAACAGGGGAUAUUGGCCCGUUCCAUGUUGGCCAGCAGAUGAGUGAUCCUUGUACACCGCAUCUUGAUAUGAUGUCUUUGAAGACCAUCAAGUGAGACUUUUCUUUUCUUAUCCUUAGGUGAGGCUUGUUGUUCUUUGCUUCCUCAUGUGCUGAUUGCAUAUUCAGAGUUAGAAUGGUUUGGUUGCCUUGACAAAAUGGAUAGCACUUCUGGCUGUUGUGUUUUUUGGCUCCUCUCUAAUUACUCAAGGGGAGCAAGAAACAAUGCUCUUAUCUUUGUCAUUUACCAAAGUGAGUAUGAAAUCAUGUCCUUUACUUUCAAUGAGAUCAUUUGGUCAUGGACCUUACGUGUUACUCAGGGACCUGUAGGUUGAUCGUGACAUCUUGUAGUCCCUUGUACGGAGGUAACUGCAAUGCCCCAGUUGCUUCAAAACAAGCAUUCACAACAUAACCAAGCUUAUUGAAGUGUACCAUGAUGUUUUUUUACUUCAUUUUGUGACUGCACUUCUCAUUGCAAUGCAUAGUACCGGCCUUCAUGUAGCAGACAUUCUUGCUAUGGAAAUGACUGCCCAGAAACUAGUCAAUAAAGUGUCAGAGAUUGAUGAAACAUGGAAGCCCCUUGAACUUCAACAGGAAGGCUGUUGACUCUUCAGCUGAAUGAGUAUUUUUUGGACACCUUGCCAAAAGUGAAUUCCAUCAAAGUUUUGGAUCAUUGAUUUAUUCAUGAGUGUGUGUUUUGUGGGUCACAGACAGAGAGAGAGAGAGAGAGAGAGAGAGAGAUGCAAGCAAUGUAGUUUGUGGAAUCAAGCUCAAGAACCACAAUGAAGGGAUUUUAUGGAGAAUAAACCUGUAAUAUCACCUUCAUAAUGGAAAAUGGACAUAGGGUUAUAAUAUUCUUCAUUUUCUAAUAUUAUAGGCCCGUGUGCUAGUGCAACUCACUGUUCCCAGUCCACAUGAUCCAAGACAUAUUUGCAAUUUAUCAUUCUUCUAAUGUAU